rnacentral:rRNA from 1 species
UGGGGAAUCUUCCGCAAUGGGCGAAAGCCUGACGGAGCGACACCGCGUGCAGGAUGAAGGCCUUCGGGUUGUAAACUGCUGUCAGGUUCUAGGAACCACUUGGCGUGAACAACGCCAAGCUUGACUAAGACCAAAGGAAGCAACGGCUAACUCUGUGCCAGCAGCCGCGGUAAGACAGAGGUUGCAAACGUUGUUCGGAAUUACUGGGCAUAAAGCGCACGUAGGCGGUCCGUUAAGUCAUGUGUGAAAUCCCUCGGCUCAACCGAGGAAUUGCGCCUGAUACUGGCGGGCUAGAGGUCGAUAGGGGUAAGCGGAACUCCAGGUGGAGCGGUGAAAUGCGUAGAUAUCUGGAGGAACACCGGUGGCGAAAGCGGCUUACUGGAUCGAAACUGACGCUGAGGUGCGAAAGCUAGGGUAGCAAACGGGAUUAGAUACCCCGGUAGUCCCUGAGCGGGCUGGCAAGGCGCAU